GCCGUUGGAAGUGAGUUAGACAUCACAGCCACAGUCACCUUCUCAUAAAGUCCCAGAUUUGCACCCCAUAAGCAACAUAGGGGAGAAAUCCAGGACACAGAGAUUGUAGACAGAAUCACUGGAUUAAAUGGAUUCACCGGAUGAAAUGGUAACCAAAUGGUAACCACUGGAUUCAUUGGAUGAAAUGGUAACCAAAAGUACACAGCAUGUGGAGACUGCUGAUUUUUAACCAGCCCGAUGUUGUGAUCAUGAAACACACUGUACCUUAGCAACUAAGGCUUUAAGUGUCUAGCAAGCAGAGCACACAGAAUAUGUAAAUUUGGGAUGUUUGCUGUUCCCACCAAAGUCUCAAGUCCAGGGUACAAACAGUUAAGCUUCUGUAAAGUAAAAUCAUAUUGACUUAUGAA